AGAGUUUGAUCCUGGCUCAGGAUGAACGCUGGCGGCGUGCCUAACACAUGCAAGUCGAGCGAUCUUCUUCGGAAGAGAGCGGCGGACGGGUGAGUAACGCGUGGGUAACCUGCCCUGUACACACGGAUAACAUACCGAAAGGUAUGCUAAUACGUGAUAACAUAAGAAAUUCGCAUGUUUUUCUUAUCAAAGCUCCGGCGGUACAGGAUGGACCCGCGUCUGAUUAGCUAGUUGGUGAGGUAACGGCUCACCAAGGCGACGAUCAGUAGCCGACCUGAGAGGGUGAUCGGCCACAUUGGAACUGAGACACGGUCCAAACUCCUACGGGAGGCAGCAGUGGGGAAUAUUGCACAAUGGGCGAAAGCCUGAUGCAGCAACGCCGCGUGAGCGAUGAAGGCCUUCGGGUCGUAAAGCUCUGUCCUCAAGGAAGAUAAUGACGGUACUUGAGGAGGAAGCCCCGGCUAACUACGUGCCAGCAGCCGCGGUAAUACGUAGGGGGCUAGCGUUAUCCGGAUUUACUGGGCGUAAAGGGUGCGUAGGCGGUCUUUUAAGUCAGGAGUGAAAGGCUACGGCUCAACCGUAGUAAGCUCUUGAAACUGGAGGACUUGAGUGCAGGAGAGGAGAGUGGAAUUCCUAGUGUAGCGGUGAAAUGCGUAGAUAUUAGGAGGAACACCAGUAGCGAAGGCGGCUCUCUGGACUGUAACUGACGCUGAGGCACGAAAGCGUGGGGAGCAAACAGGAUUAGAUACCCUGGUAGUCCACGCCGUAAACGAUGAGUACUAGGUGUCGGGGGUUACCCCCCUCGGUGCCGCAGCUAACGCAUUAAGUACUCCGCCUGGGGAGUACGCUCGCAAGAGUGAAACUCAAAGGAAUUGACGGGGACCCGCACAAGUAGCGGAGCAUGUGGUUUAAUUCGAAGCAACGCGAAGAACCUUACCUAAGCUUGACAUCCUUUUGACCGAUGCCUAAUCGCAUCUUUCCCUUCGGGGACAGAAGUGACAGGUGGUGCAUGGUUGUCGUCAGCUCGUGUCGUGAGAUGUUGGGUUAAGUCCCGCAACGAGCGCAACCCUUGCCUUUAGUUGCCAUCAUUAAGUUGGGCACUCUAGAGGGGCUGCCAGGGAUAACCUGGAGGAAGGUGGGGAUGACGUCAAAUCAUCAUGCCCCUUAUGCUUAGGGCUACACACGUGCUACAAUGGGUGGUACAGAGGGCAGCGAAGUCGUGAGGCCAAGCUAAUCCCUUAAAGCCAUUCUCAGUUCGGAUUGUAGGCUGAAACUCGCCUACAUGAAGCUGGAGUUACUAGUAAUCGCAGAUCAGAAUGCUGCGGUGAAUGCGUUCCCGGGUCUUGUACACACCGCCCGUCACACCAUGGGAGUUGGGGGCGCCCGAAGCCGGCUAGCUAACCUUUUGGAAGCGGUCGUCGAAGGUGAAACCAAUAACUGGGGUGAAGUCGUAACAAGGUA
rnacentral:rRNA from 1 species